rnacentral:lncRNA from 1 species
CAGCACCCAAAUUUUUAACAGGAGCGACAGCACAUCGCAGCUCUCGGAAGGCAAAUCCCCUUUCAAAACGGCAGCUUCAGUAGACUCUUUUUUUUUUUUUUUUUCCUCCUUUUUUUUUUUUUUUUUUUUUUUUCAGGGGAAAAAAAAAAAAGUCCGCAGCACUUUGAAAAUGUCAAAUUCCUGCGGCAGCCCAGAAGAGCCGGGGAAGCAGCGAGGCAGAGAUGGCAAGAUAAGGAGGGAGGAUGUGGAUGAUUCCCAGCCUGAGGGAAAGAGGUUGAAGCUGGGGAAUGAAGGAGGAACCGGUGGAAAGGACAGAGAAGCAGCAGCAGAAGAUGCAAUAAUGCCUUGCUCAGGCAGAGAAGAGCCCGUGCCCGGAGGAGGUGGUGAAGGCAAAAGUGACUAUAAAUCUGAUGUUAUGACUCUGGUUUCCAGUGCCAAGAACAGUCCUCAAGGUCCAAGGUGAGUCCUGCUGCAGAACCUUCUCUGGGUUAUCAAAGACUCUGCUUGGUCUGGCUCCUGCAGCUUCCAAAGUCUCACCAGCAACCCAACAGAACCAAGCAAAGGCAUUUCAGUGUUUGACUGUGUUUGCAAAGGCCUGGAUUUCAUGUGCUCUGUCUCUAUUUGGCCUUCCUCCCAUUGUCAAUGAUAUAACUGCAAGUGAGGAGGAGAAAUUAAGUGGCUUUGCAGAGGUCCUGUUCUCACAUCUGGAUGUGCUUUCAUCUGGUUUUAUCUCCCUGUGUUUUUCUGGUUUAAUAAAUUCCUGAGUUAUCUGAAGAAUGGUGCUAUA